rfam:Lonchura striata domestica isolate white83orange57 scaffold_44, whole genome shotgun sequence.
GCACAGGUUUUCUUCAGAACCAUCCAGAUUUUGAAGUGAAAAAUGU